GACGAACGCUGGCGGCGUGCCUAAUACAUGCAAGUAGAACGCACAGGAUGCACCGUAGUUUACUACACCGUAUUCUGUGAGUUGCGAACGGGUGAGUAACGCGUAGGUAACCUGCCUGGUAGCGGGGGAUAACUAUUGGAAACGAUAGCUAAUACCGCAUAAGAACAUUUACUGCAUGGUAGAUGUUUAAAAGGUGCAAAAGCAUCACUACCAGAUGGACCUGCGUUGUAUUAGCUAGUUGGUGAGGUAACGGCUCACCAAGGCAACGAUACAUAGCCGACCUGAGAGGGUGAUCGGCCACACUGGGACUGAGACACGGCCCAGACUCCUACGGGAGGCGCAGUAGGGAAUCUUCGGCAAUGGGGGGAACCCUGACCGAGCAACGCCGCGUGAGUGAAGAAGGUUUUCGGAUCGUAAAGCUCUGUUGUUAAGGAAGAACGUGUGUGAG
rnacentral:rRNA from 1 species